UAUUUUUACGUACGAAUUACUCAGAAGUAGAACUUUUCAUGAGUUACUGCCCUUGUCUUAAACUCUCCAGUUAGUACAAUCAGAUUUGUCAGUCGACAUAGAUGCUCAGAGACAGAAGUCUCCACGCGCACUACAUACGGCAAAGAUGCCACCACACCUUGUACAGAGUACAACCCCUUAUCGUAUCCUGUAGUCCCACAGUCUUUUUACUAUUAAUUGAAUAAACUGACGUACAGG